rnacentral:rRNA from 1 species
ACUCCUACGGGAGGCAGCAGUGGGGAAUAUUGCACAAUGGGGGAAACCCUGAUGCAGCCAUGCCGCGUGUGUGAAGAAGGCCUUCGGGUUGUAAAGCACUUUCAGUAGGGAGGAAGGUAGUGUAGUUAACACCUGCAUUAUUUGUACGUUACCUACAGAAGAAGCACCGGCUAACUCCGUGCCAGCAGCCGCGGUAAUACGGAGGGUGCGAGCGUUAAUCGGAAUUACUGGGCGUAAAGCGCAUGCAGGCGGCCUGUUAAGUCAGAUGUGAAAGCCCGGGGCUUAACCGUCGGAAUUGCAUUUGAAACUGGCAGGCUAGAGUCUUGUAGAGGGGGUUAGAAUUUCGAGGUGUAGCGGUGAAAUGCGUAGAGAUCUGAAGG